AACGAACGCUGGCGGCAUGCCUAACACAUGCAAGUCGAACGAGACCUUCGGGUCUAGUGGCGCACGGGUGCGUAACACGUGGGAAUUUGCCUCGGGGUAUGGAAUAACUCAGGGAAACUUGAGCCAAUACCAUAUAAUGUCUUCGGACCAAAGAUUUAUCGCCCUGAGAUAAGCCCGCGUAGGAUUAGCUAGUUGGUGGGGUAAAGGCUCACCAAGGCGACGAUCCUUAGCUGGUCUGAGAGGAUGAUCAGCCACACUGGGACUGAGACACGGCCCAGACUCCUACGGGAGGCAGCAGU
rnacentral:rRNA from 1 species